rnacentral:rRNA from 1 species
AUCCUGGCUCAGGAUGAACGCUGGCGGUAUGCUUAACACAUGCAAGUCGAACGGGAUGCUUAGGCAUCUAGUGGCGGACGGGUGAGUAACGCGUGAGAAUCUGGCUCCAGGUCGGGGAUAACAGUUGGAAACGACUGCUAAUACCGGAUGUGCCGAGAGGUGAAAGAUUUAUCGCCUGGAGAUGAGCUCGCGUCUGAUUAGCUAGUUGGCGGUGUAAGGGACCACCAAGGCAUCGAUCAGUAGCUGGUCUGAGAGGAUGAUCAGCCACACUGGGACUGAGACACGGCCCAGACUCCUACGGGAGGCAGCAGUGGGGAAUUUUCCGCAAUGGGCGAAAGCCUGACGGAGCAAUACCGCGUGAGGGAGGAAGGCUCUUGGGUCGUAAACCUCUUUUCUCAAGGAAGAAGAAAGUGACGGUACUUGAGGAAUAAGCAUCGGCUAACUCCGUGCCAGCAGCCGCGGUAAUACGGAGGAUGCAAGCGUUAUCCGGAAUGAUUGGGCGUAAAGGGUCUGCAGGUGGAACUGAAAGUCUGCUGUUAAAGAGUUUGGCUUAACCAAAUAAAAGCGGUGGAAACUACAGAACUAGAGUGCGGUAGGGGCAAAAGGAAUUCCUGGUGUAGCGGUGAAAUGCGUAGAUAUCAGGAAGAACACCGGUGGCGAAAGCGUUUUGCUAGACCGUAACUGACACUGAGGGACGAAAGCUAGGGGAGCGAAUGGGAUUAGAUACCCCAGUAGUCCUAGCCGUAAACGAUGGAUACUAGGCGUGGCUUGUAUCGACCCGAGCCGUGCCGGAGCUAACGCGUUAAGUAUCCCGCCUGGGGAGUACGCACGCAAGUUUGAAACUCAAAGGAAUUGACGGGAGCCCGCACAAGCGGUGGAGUAUGUGGUUUAAUUCGAUGCAACGCGAAGAACCUUACCAAGACUUGACAUCCUGCGAAUCCCGGUGAAAGCUGGCAGUGCCUUAGGGAGCGCAGAGACAGGUGGUGCAUGGCUGUCGUCAGCUCGUGUCGUGAGAUGUUGGGUUAAGUCCCGCAACGAGCGCAACCCUCGUUUUUAGUUGCCAGCAUUAAGUUGGGCACUCUAGAGAGACUGCCGGUGACAAACCGGAGGAAGGUGCUGAUGACGUCAAGUCAGCAUGCCCCUUACGUCUUGGGCUACACACGUACUACAAUGCUACGGACAGAGGGCAGCGAGCCAGGGAUGGCAAGCGAAUCCAGAAACCGUAGCUCAGUUCAGAUCGAAGGCUGCAACUCGCCUUCGUGAAGGAGGAAUCGCUAGUAAUUGCAGGUCAGCAUACUGCAGUGAAUUCGUUCCCGGGCCUUGUACACACCGCCCGUCACACCAUGGAAGUUGGUCACGCCCGAAGUCAUUACCCCAACCGAAAGAGGGAUGCCUAAGGUAGGACUGGUGACUGGAGUGAAGUCGU